AACGGCUUACCAAGGCAACGAUGCGUAGCCGACCUGAGAGGGUGAUCGGCCACACUGGAACUGAGACACGGUCCAGACUCCUACGGGAGGCAGCAGUAGGGAAUCUUCCGCAAUGGGCGAAAGCCUGACGGAGCAACGCCGCGUGAGUGAUGAAGGUCUUCGGAUCGUAAAACUCUGUUAUUAGGGAAGAACAAAUGUGUAAGUAAC
rnacentral:rRNA from 1 species